CCUACGGGUGGCAGCAGUGAGGAAUAUUGGGCAAUGGACGAGAGUCUGAACCAGCCAAGUAGCGUGAAGGAUGACUGCCCUAUGGGUGGUAAACUUCUGUUAUAGGGGAAUAAAAUGUACCACGUGUGGGAUUUUGUAUGUACCAUAUGAAUAAGGAUCGGCUAACUCCGUGCCAGCAGCCGCGGUAAUACGGAGGAUCCGAGCGUUAUCCGGCUUUAUUGGGGUGAAAGGGAGCGUAGGGGGAUUGUUAAGUCAGUUGUGACAGUUUGCGGCUCAACCGUUAAAUUGCAGUUGAAACUGGCAGUCUUGAGUACCGUAGUGGUGGGCGGACUUCGUGGUGUAGCGG
rnacentral:rRNA from 1 species